CUACGGGCGGCAGCAGCUAAGAAUCUUCCGCAAUGGACGAAAGUCUGACGGAGCGACGCCGCGUGAAUGAUGAAGGCCGAAAGGUUGUAAAGUUCUUUUCUUGUGGAGGAAUAAUGUUAGUAGGGAAUGACUAACAGAUGACGUUAAGCAAGGAAUAAGCCCCGGCUAAUUACGUGCCAGCAGCCGCGGUAACACGUAAGGGGCAAGCGUUGUUCGGAUUCAUUGGGCGUAAAGGGCGUGUAGGCGGAAUGACAAGUCUGGUGUGAAAUAUCCCGGCUCAACUGGGAAAACGCAUUGGAAACUGUCAAUCUAGAGUAUAGGAAGGGAAGCUAGAAUUCCAGGUGUAGGGGUGAUAUCUGUAGAUAUCUGGAAGAAUACCGGUGGCGAAGGCGAGCUUCUGGCCAUAUACUGACGCUGAUACGCGAAAGUGUGGGGAGCGAACAGGAUUAGAUACCCCCGUAGUC
rnacentral:rRNA from 1 species